AGCGGACAGAUGGGAGCUUGCUCCCUGAUGUUAGCGGCGGACGGGUGAGUAACACGUGGGUAACCUGCCUGUAAGACUGGGAUAACUCCGGGAAACCGGGGCUAAUACCGGAUGCUUGUUUGAACCGCAUGGUUCAAACAUAAAAGGUGGCUUCGGCUACCACUUACAGAUGGACCCGCGGCGCAUUAGCUAGUUGGUGAGGUAAUGGCUCACCAAGGCAACGAUGCGUAGCCGACCUGAGAGGGUGAUCGGCCACACUGGGACUGAGACACGGCCCAGACUCCUACGGGAGGCAGCAGUAGGGAAUCUUCCGCAAUGGACGAAAGUCUGACGGAGCAACGCCGCGUGAGUGAUGAAGGUUUUCGGAUCGUAAAGCUCUGUUGUUAGGGAAGAACAAGUACCGUUCGAAUAGGGCGGUACCUUGACGGUACCUAACCAGAAAGCCACGGCUAACUACGUGCCAGCAGCCGCGGUAAUACGUAGGUGGCAAGCGUUGUCCGGAAUUAUUGGGCGUAAAGGGCUCGCAGGCGGUUUCUUAAGUCUGAUGUGAAAGCCCCCGGCUCAACCGGGGAGGGUCAUUGGAAACUGGGGAACUUGAGUGCAGAAGAGGAGAGUGGAAUUCCACGUGUAGCGGUGAAAUGCGUAGAGAUGUGGAGGAACACCAGUGGCGAAGGCGACUCUCUGGUCUGUAACUGACGCUGAGGAGCGAAAGCGUGGGGAGCGAACAGGAUUAGAUACCCUGGUAGUCCACGCCGUAAACGAUGAGUGCUAAGUGUUAGGGG
rnacentral:rRNA from 1 species